UGCGAUGAUGAAUGAAUCCAAUGCUGAACUGAUGAUUGACCCCAGAGUGGCUGAGC
rnacentral:snoRNA from 17 species